AGGUCAAGCUACAAAGGGCGCAUGGUGAAUGCCUUGGCAUCAGGAGCCGAUGAAGGACGCGAUAAGCUGCGAUAAGCUUCGGGUAGACGCACAUAGUCAGAGAUCCGAAGAUUUCCGAAUGAGGAAACUCACAUGGGAAACCCCAUGUAUCGUAAAGUGAAUACAUAGCUUUAUGAAGGUAAACCCAGGGAACUGAAACAUCUAAGUACCUGGAGGAAGAGAAAGAAAAAUCGAUUUUCUUAGUAGCGGCGAGCGAAAGGGAAAGAGCCCAAACCAAAGAUUUAUCUUUGGGGUUGCGGACAGAACAUUAACGAGAAAUUAUGGUUAACCGAACACAACUGGAAAGUUGGACCGUAGGGGGUAAUAGUCCUGUAGGUGAAAAUUAUAAUGAUCAAGUUCUGAUCCAGAGUACCACGAGACACGUGAAACCUUGUGGGAAGCAGGGAGGACCACCUCCCAAGGCUAAAUACUACCUGAUGACCGAUAGUGAAGCAGUACCGUGAGGGAAAGGUGAAAAGAACCCCGGGAGGGGAGUGAAAUAGAACCUGAAACCAUGUGCCUACAACCGAUCAAAGCACCUUAUGUGUGUGAUGAUGUGCUUUUUGUAGAACGAGCCAACGAGUUACGGUAUGUAGCAAGGUUAAGUACUUAAGGUACGGAGCCGAAGGGAAACCGAGUCUUAAUAGGGCGACUAGUUGCAUGCUGUAGACCCGAAACCGGGUGACCUAUCCAUGGCCAGGUUGAAGCGAGGGUAAAACCUCGUGGAGGACCGAACCACGUUGCUGUUGAAAAAGCAUGGGAUGAGCUGUGGAUAGCGGAGAAAUUCCAAUCGAACUCGGAUAUAGCUGGUUCUCCUCGAAAUAGCUUUAGGGCUAGCGUCGGAAAAUGUGAGUACUGGGGGUAGAGCACUGAAUGGGCUAGGGGGCAUAGCGCUUACCGAACCUUAUCAAACUCCGAAUACCAGAUACUAUCAGUCCGGCAGUCAGACUGCGAAAGAUAAGUUCCGUAGUCAAAAGGGAAACAGCCCAGAUCGUCAGCUAAGGUCCCAAAGUGUAAGUUAAGUGGAAAAGGAUGUGGGAUUUCUAAGACAACUAGGAUGUUGGCUUAGAAGCAGCCACUCAUUAAAAGAGUGCGUAAUAGCUCACUAGUCAAGAGAUCCUGCGCCGAAAAUGUCCGGGGCUCAAACUUACCACCGAAGCUACGGGUUCACACAAUAGUGUGAGCGGUAGAGGAGCGUCGUAAUCGGGCUGAAGUCGUACCGUAAGGAGCGGUGGACUGAUUACGAGUGAGAAUGUUGGCAUUAGUAGCGAGAUGUGGGUGAGAAUCCCACAGGCCGAAUACCUAAGGUUUCCUCAGGAAGGUUCGUCCGCUGAGGGUUAGUCGGGACCUAAGCUGAGGCCGAAAGGCGUAAGCGAUGGACAAUCGGUUGAUAUUCCGAUACCACUAUUAUCGUUAUUAUCGAUGGUGUGACGGAGAAGGAUAGGAUGUGCUAGCUAUUGGAUGCUAGUCUAAGCGUUUAGGGAGUUAGGAUAGGCAAAUCCGUUCUAACAAUUCUGAGGCGUGAUGGGGAAGGUUCUAAGGAACCGAAGUAUCUGAUUCCAUGCUUCCAAGAAAAGCAUCUAGAAAGAGAAAUAGUGCCCGUACCGCAAACCGACACAGGUAGGUGAGGAGAGAAUCCUAAGGCCGGCGGAAGAAUUGCAGUUAAGGAACUAGGCAAAUUGACCCCGUAACUUCGGGAGAAGGGGUGCCUGCGAGAGCAGGCCGCAGAGAAUAGGCACAAGCAACUGUUUAACAAAAACACAGGUCUCUGCUAAAGCGAAAGCUGAUGUAUAGGGGCUGACGCCUGCCCGGUGCUGGAAGGUUAAGGGGAACACUUAGCGUAAGCGAAGGUGUGAACUUAAGCCCCAGUAAACGGCGGC
rnacentral:rRNA from 1 species